GAUGAACGCUGGCGGCAGGCCUAACACAUGCAAGUCGAGUGAGCGGCGGACGGGUGAGUAAUGUCUGGGAAACUGCCUGCUGGAGGGGGAUAACUACUGGAAACGGUAGCUAAUACAGCAUACCAUCAGAUGUGUCUAGAGGGGAUUAGCUGGUGGGUGGGGUAACGGCUCCCCAAGGCGCCGAUCCCUAGCUGGUCUGAGCGGAUGACCAGCCACACUGGAACUUGGCAACGGGCCAUACUCCUACGGGAGGCAUCAGUGGGGAAUAUUGCACAAUGGGCGCAAGCCUGAUGCAGCCAUGCCGCGUGUGUGAAGAAGGCCUUCGGGUUGUAAAGCACUUUCAGCGGGGAAGCGUUACCCGCAGAAGAAGCACCGGCUAACUCCGUGCCAGCAGCCGCGGUAAUAC
rnacentral:rRNA from 1 species